UACGUAGGAUGCAAGCGUUGUUCGGAAUUACUGGGCGUAAAGAGUACGUAGGCGGUUUGAUAAGUCUGCUAUUAAAGACUGGAGCUUAACUCCAGGACUGUAGUGGAAACUGUCAGACUAGAGGACAAUAGAGGAAGUGGGAAUUCUCAGUGUAGCGGUGAAAUGCGUAGAUAUUGGGAAGAACACCAGUGGCGAAAGCGCACUUCUGGGUUGUUACUGACGCUGAGGCGCGAAAGCGUGGGGAGCGAACAGG
rnacentral:rRNA from 1 species